rnacentral:lncRNA from 1 species
GGGAAUACCUCUAGUUCUUCCCGGCCGCCGCCGCCGCCGCCGCCCCGCCGCUUCCUCCUCCGCCUGCCGGCCUCCUUCGCCCCGUCCCGUCCGCGCAGCGCGUCCGGCCCGCCCGCAGGCCAGCUUCUCUCGGGAGCCCCCACCCAGGCGCAUGGCUCCAUGAAGCAAGAGGAGGAGGCAGAGCGCGAGAGGUCCCGUCCGCCCCAGCCGCGUCUGGGCCAGGAUAAAAGCAAAACCAUAUUCCUGCUGCUGUCAGUUAUGAUGCACUGAGAAAACUUCAGAGACCUAAACUUUUUCCAGAGAAGAGAAGCUUUACUGGUGUUCCAGCCCUAAGAAACCUUUGUUCAAGAAAACGGCAGAUGCUCUGUUGAAUCCACUGGAGAUUGUUCUGAUACUAAGGACAAGUAUCAACCAUCUUUCCUGUGAAAAAUUCCCUCUCGUACUUUAGUUCUGUGGAUCCAAAAUUUAUAGCAUUCUUCUACCACCACAGGGGCUCAUAUGACAUUAACAGACAAGACACUUUUCAGAAAGACAGGCAACGUGUUGGACCUUCCGGAGCUUCUCAGAAGACAGAGGGUUUUCUUUUGAGGAUUUAAACCUCAGACACAGGGAGCUGACCUAUUCACCUUAGAAUCCUCUGGGGCACCCAUUACAGUGUCUGUACCAAGGAGGCAACAAAGAACGGCGGAACAGACUGGAGCAGAAGGACCACCCAGCAGAGCCAAGCCAAAUCACUGACCCUCAGAGGCCUGAUGUGAAUGCUUAUGGCUUCAGUCCAUUGGAUUCUGCAGUAAUCUGCCGAUCUACAGUAUUACCACAGUAAAUAACCGAUAGACCUGAAAACGAAUGCAUGCCUUGUGCCAAAAUUGCAGGAAACCUCACCAGGAGAAACAAUUUUAUAUGAGGGAAUGUACUCUCUCCUUUGCAUUUUCCCUCAAAUCUAUAUUUUUAGCCCCUCACUUGUCUCUACAGAGCCUCAGUUGCUUAAUCUAAUUGCUGACUGAACAUCUCCAGGAAACUGUGUGUACGUGUUUGUAUUCAUAGUAUAUUUAUUUAUUAUCUGUUUACUUCCAUGGGAUAUAGUCUCCAUAAGAGAGUAGUCAUCAUUGUAUUUGUUGAUGCUUAAUAAAUAAUCAUUGAAUGG